AUUGAACGCUGGCGGAAGGCCUAACACAUGCAAGUCGAGCGGAGCGGCGGACGGGUGAGUAAUGCCUAGGAAUCUGCCUGGUAGUGGGGGCUAACGUCCGGAAACGGGCGCUAAUACCGCAUACUAUCAGAUGAGCCUAGGUCGGAUUAGCUAGUUGGUGGGGUAAAGGCCUACCAAGGCGACGAGCCGUACCUGGUCUGGGAGGAUGAUCAGUCACACUGGAACUGAGACACGCUCUAGACUCCUACGGGAGGCAGAAGUGGGGAAUAUUUGACAAUGGGCGAAAGCCGGAUCCAGCCAUGCCGCGUGUGUGAAGAAGGUCUUCGGAUUGUAAAGCACUUUAAGUUGGGAGGCGUUACCAACAGAAUAAGCACAGGCUAACUUCGUGCCAGCCGCCGCGGUAAUAC
rnacentral:rRNA from 1 species